CGAACUUGUGACAGUCCACUACCUUCCAGGGGCGGAAAAAAUUGUAAUGGGUCGAGUGUGGAUUCAUCAGAUUGCAGCUUAAGUGAUUGUCCAGUUGAUGGUCAGUGGGGUUCCUGGUCGACUGGACCAUGUUCUGUCACAUGCGGUAAUGGUAUUCGAUAUAGAAAGAGAAGUUGUGACAGCCCAUCAAAAUCUAACAAUGGACAAGAUUGUAUUGGUUCCAACAUAUUCACCGUAAUCUGUACCUUAGGAGCAUGUUCAGAAUCAUGUAAAGAAUCAGAAAAGAAACUAGAAUCAAAGAAAAUAUAAGCAAGAAAAUGGAAAAGAUAUCAGAAUAGAAAACUGAAUAGAAGAACAGAUACAAACAACAACUAACGUGUACUACAUGUUUGUCUUG